GAGCAGGCUGAUGACCCGAGAUCAGGUCAGGCUCGGGUCAUCCCAGAAUGUGAUCUGAAAAAUGUGAAAAUCCUCGACGCCUCAAACGUGCAUUUGGAGAAACAAAUAAAAAAAAAAGCUGCUGAUCACUUGAGAGUUUGUAAAACCGCAGCGGCCGUUCGGAAGAUGGAUCUUAGCAGAGCGGGCCCGCUCUGUGCAUUUGGGCCUCGCCCGGUCGCUCUGAAAUGUUUCAAAAAAGCUGGACGUUCAUUGCUUUCGACGACACUCGGCCCUUCAGAGGACGAGCGUCGAGCGUCUGCGACAAACCCAAACGAGUGUGUUUUCUGCGACCCUGUUUUAUCGGAGCAUCUGCAGCUAAUUCAAGUGUGAUUACGUGGGGGGGGUCUGAGAUCCCUCCCUAAUACAUCCCCACUCACUGCUAUUGUCUUUCCCUCAGACUAAUGAAAAUAAUGGUUAUGAAUGUUUUCCGUACACUUUGAUUGUCACAUCAACUGUUUUUAUUGCUGUCAUUAUGCUUUAACAUCGCACUGUUAAUUCUGUUAAUUAAAAAGCUGAUUGCGUUUGCCAGUCUGCGAUCUGCACUU
ensembl:lncRNA